rnacentral:rRNA from 1 species
UGGUGACUUAAACCCUCACCAGAGUACCAAUUGGAGGGCAAGUCUGGUGCCAGCAGCCGCGGUAAUUCCAGCUCCAAUAGCGUAUAUUAAACUUGUUGCAGUUAAAAAGCUCGUAGUUGAAUUUCAGCGUUUCGCGUGUGCCUCUUUUGGCCCAUCUCGUCUCGCUUUUUUUAUUACUUUGAGAAAAUUAGAGUGUUUCAAGCAGGCUUUUGUCUUGAAUACUUGAGCAUGGAAUAAUAGAGUAGGACCUUGGUUCUAUUUUGUUGGUUUUGUUACCUUGGUAAUGGUUAAUAGGAACGGUUGGGGGCAUUCGUAUUUAACUGUCAGAGGUGAAAUUCUUAGAUUUGUUAAAGACGAACUACUGCGAAAGCAUUUGCCA